CAGGCACGUUAGCAAUUUGUUCAGUCGCUGUUAUUACUCUAUUGAUGUCUGCCACUGAAGAGGGUAUUGCAGCAGGCGUCUCGUUGUUGGGCUGGCCAACAUUUAGAGCCGUUGUUGACUCUGAGAUAGCUCCUGUUUUGAACUUAGGUUUUGGUUUAGCAUGGAUACCCGUGUAAGCCUGCACACAAGUCCAGAAGAUUUCGACUUAAAAACAGAAUGCUCAAUAGAGAUUUUGACAGAAUAUGAGACUCAAAGUAGAUGGACUCACCGAGCAUGCCUAGCGUACUCUUCAUAGUUCUCAAGUAGCAUCUUUCCAGCCUGUUCGUUUAAUGCAGAUUCUGGAAAUGGCUCGAUUAGUAAGCACCUCACAACCUGUUACCAUGUACAAACACACACAAAGAAAAGCUCACUCUCUCAAGUAUUAAGUAAUCUGAUCAAAGAAAUGAAAACACACAAGGGUGAAGGAUCUUACAGGGAGAACAUGUCUCAAUCCAAGACUAGGGUUCCAAUCUUUCUUAAGCGUGUUAACGCAAAUCAAGAAAAACUUGGUGUGCACAUAUUUACAUUUCAUAUAUUAUUGUGAAACUUGUCUUGUCUGUGUUUGCUAAUAUAAGAGAAAAUCAUAAUAUAUAUUUUUACGAAAGAUUGGAAUGACCAUAAGAAUAUAUUAUAAUAAAUAUAUUGGACAUUAUUUUCUUGAUAUAUUACAAAAGUAAUAAUUAAUUAAAAAAACACAUUAAACUACCAUAAUAAAUGUAUCGAUUUCUGUAAUUUUCAAUUUUCAAUAACAUUUAACCAAUAAUAAUUUAAUAAAGUCAAUUAAUUUUCUUGAAGUUUACAAUUUUUUUAUAGAAAACUAAAAAAAUACAUCUUUUUGAAACGAACGUUUUUCCUAGAAAGUCUAUUAUUAAGGAACGGAGGGAGUAGUUGUUAUCUAGCCAUGAAGGCAUUUAAUGUAAACACACAAAUUUACAAAACAAUUAAUAUAAAUAACUGAAUAAAGUAAAUAUAUUUAGCUGAAUUAUUCAGACUAAGAUUAUUCAAAACAUUUAGUCCAUAAUAACAAUUUUAAUUUAUAUAUAUUACAUUUUGAAAAAUCUGUUUCAAUAUACAAAUUAUAUCUUGACAAGGCAAUCUGAAAGAAAAUAAAACUUUCACACUAAUAUUCAUAUGCUUAGGUAAAUGAAUCAUGCACUUUUAUAUUAUUUUGACUAUAAUCUGAGAAAAUCAUUGAAAGAUUUUCUUUACAAAAAUAUAACUAAUGCAAGUUUAUGUUUAUAUGUAGAUUGAUAUGCUUAGGUAAAUGAAUCAUGCACUUUUAUAUUAUUUUAACUAUAAUCUCAGAAAAUUAAUUUAAAGAUUUUCUUUACAAAAAAUAUAACUAAUGCAAGUUUAUGUUUAUAUUCUUAGGUAAAUGAAUCAUGCACUUUUAUAUUGUUUUGACUAUAAUCUCAAAAAAUGAAUUAAAAAGUUUUUUUUUAAAAAAACAUAAUUAAUGCAAGUUUAUGUUUAUAUGCUUAGGUAAAUGAAUCAUGCACUUUUAUAUUAUUUUGACUAUAAUCUCAGAAAAUUAAUUGAAAGAUUUUCUUUACAAAAAUAUAAUUGAUGCAAGUUUAUGUUUAUAUGCUUAGGUAAAUGAAUCAUGCACUUUUAUAUUAUUUUGACUAUAAUCUCAAAAAAUUAAUUGAAAGAUUUUCUUUAGAAAAAUAUAAUUAACACAAGUUUAUGUUUUUAUGUAGAUUGAUAUGCUUAGGUAAAUGAAUCAUGCACUUUUAUAUUAUUUUGACUAUAAUCUCAGAAAAUUAAUUGAAAGAUUUUCUUAAAAAAAUAUAAAUAAUGCAAGUUUAUGUUUAUAUGCUUAGGUAAAUAAAUCAUGCACUUUUAUAUUAUUUUGACUAUAAUCUCAGAAAAUUAAUUGAAAGAUUUUCCUUACAAAAUAUAAUUGAUGCAAGUUUAUGUUUAUAUGCUUAGGUACAUGAAUCAUGCACUUUUAUAUUAUUUUGACUAUAAUCUCAGAAAAUUAAUUGAAAGAUUUUCUUUACAAAAAUAUAAUUAAUGCAAGUUUAUGUUUAUAUGUAUAUAUAUAUAUAUAUAUCAAUCUAAAAUAUAAUAGAACUCUCAAACAAUUUAUAAAACAUCCUACAAAAUGAGUAUCUCCGAAAAAUGUAUAUUAAUCGCAUUUGUUUUCACUCUUUUCUUCGCGAUGUCAAUUGUUAGCUGCACCGAUAUUGUUUCAGGUACUACAUUAAAAUUUAAUUUUUAGUUAUGCUAAAGUCUUCAUUCCUGCAUAAUUUUAAUAUUUUAUUAUUUCUUACUAUUCGAAUAGAUUUCGGAGUAAAGAAAGCAUAUAAUCUAUGCUAUGGUCCAUGUGACGACAAAGGAGUGUGUGAGCCGUUUUGUUAUACCAAAAAGGGUCCGAUAAGGGGAGACUGUGUUGGUGGCACUUGUUGUUGUGCUGAACAUUAAAUAAAAUAUUAAAUAAUAUCAUUAGAUAUUAUAUCUUGUAUGAAAUGAAAUAAUACUACCAAUAAUACAUAAAAUGCUUUUACAAAAAAAAUAUAUAAAAUGUUAUUAAAUUUAAGUUACUUUGAUUAACCUCGAGAAAACAUUAGUCAAAGUUGCAUGUCUUUUCUAAAAAAACAUUAAUAAAAUAAUAGUAUAUAUUAAUAAUGUAAACAUCCAGCAUGACAUAGAACUUUAAAAUAUGGAAGGGAAAACACGUGAAGAACAAUUAACGUUACAUAUAUAUCUCAUGCAACAAUAAAUGAAGUGAAAAAGCAAACUAAUAAAAAAUCGGUAAAUGUAAUUAAGUGAAAAAUAAAAAUAUUCAUUUAAAAAUAAAAUAUUAAUUUUUCAUUUUUACAUAUAUUCAUUUAAUAAAAGGAAACUAAUAAGUAAAUGUAAAUGUAACUAAGUGAAAAAUAAAAAUAUUCAUUUAAAAAUAAAAUAUUAUUUUUUCCUUUGCAUAUAUAUAUUCAUUUUUUUCUUUUACCAAAAUAAAUAUUCAUUUUUUAAACAUAUAAAUAAAUCCUAUGAACGGAGACGUCUCAUAAACCCUACAUAGUAGAAGCUCUGCAGAUGCAUUCAGUCCAUGUUGUCAUUCAGCUUCUAUUGGGCCGAAUUUCUGUCACCAUUCUUAUAUACUCUAUUCUUCAUUUUGAUAUCUUUUUUUUUUUUGAAACUAUUCAUUUUGAUAUCUUUUGAGUCAACAUAAUAAAUCACGAGAAUAAACCUCUCUAACACGAGAUUCCACUUCGACAAUACAUAUCUCCACAACCUUAAGCAAAAGAACAACAUAGUACAUAUGUUAAAUUCACAUUUGGGUAAGAAAUUGAUAGGUUUCGCCGAUGGAUCAUGUCUUCAUCGUCAAUCUAGCUGUUGCGACUAGGCAUUUACUUGGAUGAAUUUAUGUGAUAAAUCAUGUUCCAAGUAGUUAAAAACUUUUUAUUCUUAUUUCAGGUAUUAAAAUUGAAAUUUGUUAUAAGUUCAGGUAUCGGUCGCAUCAUUUGUUUCGUUUAAACUAAAAUUAUUCAGUUACGAACUGUUUCAUGUCACCAUUUUACGGACAUGAUGACGGUUGUAUGUAUUUAAAAGUCUUUUAUUCUAAGUUGAUGUAUUAAAUUUAAAUUCGUUAUUAGUCUAAAUAUCAGAUCACACAAUCAAAUAGUUUAUAUAUUGAUUAGGCGAUAUGGCCUAGUUCGUGCACUAGCUCGCCAUUUUGCCUAGUUUCAUGUCUUGAUUGAAUUAUUACAACUAUUCUUAUGGAUUUGAGUGAGUAGAUCUAGAGAAACAUGAUGUAAAUAAAGUUUAUUAAGGUUUAAUGAUAUUAUAGGUGUUGAUAAUCAAUGGACAUAUAUACGUGAGAGAGAUUUCAUGAAGUCGAAAGAAAAUAAAAAAUUGUAAGAUGACAAGAAUAAUAUAUAUAAGUUUACAGAAAAAAAGAAUGAUAUAUAUAUAUAUAUAUAUAUAUGUGGAAGGAAAAACACAUGAAGAACAUGCAAAAUUAACGUUACAUAUAUAUGUCUCAUGCAAAAAUAAAUGAAGUGAAAAAAGAAAACUAAUAAGUGAAUGUAAAUGUAAUUAAGUGAAAAUAUUCAUUUUUUCUAGACAUAUAAAUAAACCGUAUGACGGAGACGUCUCAUAAACAUAGUAGAAUAGGAGGCGGAUGAAGCAUUAGCUUCACGGCCAAUUACAAUAAAUAUUAUUUUGGGGCAAAAUUAUGUGAAAGGUGUCAUUGGUUCAGUGGUUGAGUAUGCUGCUCUAAACUGAUCACGUCACCAGUUUGAGAUAGUUUAGCACUGUUUUUAUCAGUUAUUUUAGGUUAAAUAUUUUAUACUAAAACAAAGGGGAAAUCACAUUUUAAACAUUGAGAGUGUCAUUUUCUAAUACUUUAAACACUGAAGUUAUUUUACAAGCAUUUUAAACCUUUAAAGUGACAUUUUUAUCAUAAUAAACCUUCAAAGACGUUUUCCUGUUCAUAGACGACCAGUACUGUUUAUUUUACCAGUAUAUAGAAAAUAAAGUUUGGAACCUUUGUUGUCUCCGUUUCUCUAGAGAAUAGCGAUUUUAUAGUGGUUAGUUAUAUAGAGCAUUUACCGAUUUUAUAUUCGUAGGGGUUAAUACAUAGAUUUUGAGAAGAAAAAUCAAAAAUAUGAUAAUACUAUUUUAAUGCAUAGUUGGAUCAUGCACUAACAUAUGAUGAAUGUCAAAGAGUUUUGGAACCUUUAUUGUCUCCGUUUCUCUAGAGAAUAGCGAUUUUAUAGUGGAUACUCCACUAAUUUUGGGUGUAUUGUGAAAAUAAGGUUUGCAUCAUGCGAAAAUAAGGUUUGGAACCUUUGUUUAGAAAUUUUAAAACAACACUAAAGAUCAUAGGCUUCAGAGUAUAAAGCAUUUAUCGAAAAACUCAAUAUUUUCGUAGGAGUUAACACAUAGAUUUUGAAAAAAAAAUCAAAAAUAUGACAAUACUGUUUUAAUGCAUGGUUGCAUCAUGCACUAACAUAUGAUGAAGUUCAAAGAGGUUUAAGAUCUUUGUUAUCUCCGUUUCUCUAGAGAAUAACGAUUUUAUAGUGGUUAGUCCACUAAUUUAUGGAGUAUUGUGAAGUUUUACUAAAUUAAUUGAUAAAAAUUAAAAUGAUGUCCAUGUACCAUGAAAUAUAGUUUAAUAUACAUUAAUACAAAUGUAGAAUGUGUUGAAGAAUCGGCUCCAAAAAAGGCAAGUGGAGAUGUUGAAGAAUCUGGCUGAUCCAGUGAGGUUUAGUGCAUGGUAUCAACACUCCAAAUGGUCUUAGAUGUAAUGAAUGUCUCCUGGUUUCCUCACGUGAGUUUGAGUUGCACACUCCUUAAGCAAAGAAUUACUUUCCUUAAAUGGAACCAGUUCGGAUGCAAUGUAGAUAGUCUGACUUGUAAAUGGCAUAUCUCCUAAACCAUUACUCCUUUUGGUAUAAAACCAAUUCGCCGUGUGCUCUUGUUGAGUGUAGAAUCCAGGAAAACCGGUUUCAUUGAUAAAUUCCUCCUGGUUUAUAAGAUAUAGCGUUUUGAUUGCACAUAUGUCCUGGUUGGCUUCUUAGCUUUCCUCAGCUUCAUGUUCUUCACUGAUUUACUCCUGGUUCCUUUCUCCUUUUCUGAUGAUGACUUGAGGUCCUCAUCAAUUUAAUAUACAAUUAGUUGAGUAAGUUUGAUGGCCACACAGGUUAUGAUGUUUGAUGAAAGAGGAGAUUAGAGUUCCAUGUGCUAAUAUAUGGUAUUGUUUUCUAUUUUCAGAUGUAAUAUACAAUUAAUUGUUAUAUUACUUGUUGGAAAUAUUGUGUAUUGAUUUGAUAUAAAAUUAGUUGAGUAAAUUUGAAGGUCACACAGCUUAUUAUACGAUGUUUGAUGAAAGAGGAGAUUAGUAGAAGUGGCUGCAUAUAAUAUAUGGAUUUGUUUUCUAUUUUUAGAAAUUUCUAAGUGUCACUCCAACUUUGAUAGGAAAAGAGUUGAGCAAAAAGGGGGCAGAGUCAUGAUGACAUGACAGAAGAAUCCAAACAUUAUGAGAUGGAGAUAAGAUAAAUGACACUAAUUGAGAAGUAUCAUCAUAGUCUCUUCAAGCUCUUCUUUCUGGCAUCUACCUUCUUCUUGUCUGCCUGAACCUUGGCCAAACCGGCUUCUCUUUUCUGUGUCGUAGUGGCCACACUUGCAGAUCCUGCUGCUGCUGCUACAGGCACGUUAGCAAUUUGUUCAGUCGCUGUUAUUACUCUAUUGAUGUCUGCCACUGAAGAGGGUAUUGCAGCAGGCGACUCGUUGUUGGGCUGGCCAACAUUUAGAGCCGUUGUUGACUCUGAGAUAGCUCCUGUUUUGAACUUAGGUUUUGGUUUAGCAUGGAUACCCGUGUAAAGCCUGCACACAAGUCCAGAAGAUUUAGACUUAAAAACAGAAUGCUCAAAAGAGAUUUUGACAGAAUAUGAGACUCAAAGUAGAUGGACUCACCGAGCAUGCCUAGCGU
rnacentral:lncRNA from 1 species